rnacentral:misc_RNA from 1 species
GAUGAAGAACGUAGCGAAAUGCGAUAAGUAAUGCGAAUUGCAGAUUUCAGUGAGUCAUCGAAUCUUUGAACGCACAUUGCGCCCGCCAGUAUUCUGGCGGGCAUGCCUGUUCGAGCGUCAUUUCAACCAUCAAGCCCCCGGCUUGUGUUGGGGACCUGCGGCUGCCGCAGGCCCUGAAAAGCAGUGGCGGGCUCGCUGUCACACCGAGCGUAGUAGCAUACAUCUCGCUCUGGGCGUGCUGCGGGUUCCGGCCGUUAAACCACCUUCAUAACCCAAGGUUGACCUCGGAUCAGGUAGGAAGACCCGCUGAACUUAAGCAUAUCAAUAAGCGGAGGA